UGGGGAAUAUUGGACAAUGGGGGGAACCCUGAUUCAGCCAUGCCGCGUGUGUGAAGAAGGCCUUAUGGUUGUAAAGCACUUUAAGCGAGGAGGAGGGUACUGGUAUUAAUACUACCAGCUACUGGACGUUACUCGCAGAAUAAGCACCGGCUAACUCUGUGCCAGCAGCCGCGGUAAUACAGAGGGUGCGAGCGUUAAUCGGAUUUACUGGGCGUAAAGCGUGCGUAGGCGGCUAAUUGAGUCGGAUGUGAAAUCCCCGAGCUUAACUUGGGAAUUGCAUUCGAUACUGGUUAGCUAGAGUGUGGGAGAGGAUGGUAGAAUUCCAGGUGUAGCGGUGAAAUGCGUAGAGAUCUGGAGGAAUACCGAUGGCGAAGGCAGCCAUCUGGCCUAACACUGACGCUGAGGUACGAAAGCAUGGGGAGCAAACAGG
rnacentral:rRNA from 1 species